rnacentral:rRNA from 1 species
AGUGAACGCUGGCGGUAGGCCCAACACAUACAAGUCGAACGGCAGCACAGUAAGAGCUUGCUCUUACGGGUGGCGAGUGGCGGACGGGUGAGGAAUACAUCGGAAUCUACUUUUUCGUGGGGGAUAACGUAGGGAAACUUACGCUAAUACCGCAUACGACCUACGGGUGAAAGCAGGGGAUCUUCGGACCUUGCGCGAUUGAAUGAGCCGAUGUCGGAUUAGCUAGUUGGCGGGGUAAAGGCCCACCAAGGCGACGAUCCGUAGCUGGUCUGAGAGGAUGAUCAGCCACACUGGAACUGAGACACGGUCCAGACUCCUACGGGAGGCAGCAGUGGGGAAUAUUGGACAAUGGGCGCAAGCCUGAUCCAGCCAUACCGCGUGGGUGAAGAAGGCCUUCGGGUUGUAAAGCCCUUUUGUUGGGAAAGAAAAGCAGCAGGUUAAUACCCCGCUGUUCUGACGGUACCCAAAGAAUAAGCACCGGCUAACUUCGUG